rnacentral:lncRNA from 1 species
UGGGGGGCUUGUUUCCUGGGAAGGAGAUGCCCCCCCAUCCAGGGGGUGGGGAGGAAACUGUGUUGGGUGGUCCCUCUGAGUAGUCAUUGAACCUCUCUAUGUAGCUGAAGAUGCCCGCGAACUCACGAUUCUCCUGCUUCCAUGUCCUAAAUGCUGGAAUGACAGCAGCUACUCUGCACCAGAAAAACACUCUUGUUACCACACCGGAACCAACCCCCUGUCUGUAAACCUGCCUCGAGGGUCUCUGCUCCCUUCUCUUUCAUGCAUUGGUUAAGGUGGGGCGGACAAGAACUCAAAACCACAAAGAAAAGUGGCCUCGCAGGCCUCUCCAGGACCCACCGACCUUGCUGAGGACCAGCAGCCGCUGCUUCUCUUUCUCAUUGGUGGCCAGGGAGGCGAACUGCUGCAGCUGCAGGGGCGUGGGCGGCGUGGUGAUGUCCAGCAUCUCCACCUUCACCACGUGGUUGGCGGGCGGCGCGUCCUCCAGCCGUUCAAUGAGUGCAUUCACGAGGUCCUCGUGGUUGCCAGGGAAGACACCCAGGUGGUCCCCUGGCUGGUACUGCAGCUCCUGAUUCCCGUUGGUGUGGAGACGCACGAAGAUGGUGGAGCGGCUGUAGGAAACAAGGGGUGCGUGUGUUGUGUGGGACAAAAACCAGCGCUCUGUCUCCCUUUUGCCCCUGGUCUAUCUCUCUAGGCUGCAGAGGUCUCCUUCCAUGCUCCUGGGCUCUGGUCUGAUGAAAUGCACGCCCAGCACUCCCCCCCCCCCAGUAGCUUCUGCCAAGCUCCUCCAGUCAGCUCUCCAUGAUGGAAUCAACUGCCAGGUCCUGCGCCGGGGACAUCACCCUUGUGAUGCCUCACCUCCUUGCUUGGGGCUGGUCCCCAAGUUCUCAUGGCCUCUCUGGUGAUCCCAGCUCAGUCUUCCGUGCUGGUCCCUUCUCAUCUCCCAAGCCCUGUGCCCAGCCACAACCUGCUGAGAUGUAUCCAUCCCCCACAUCUUUCUGCCUCUUCUCCACUUUCCUCCAUUACAGAAGCCUUUCCUUUCUUACUUCUGUGGCUAGUGAUGUAUUCUAGGAACACCGUGACACAGGGCAUUUUUCUACCAUGGCUGUGGCUUUAUCCUCAUGACAGUGGCUGGCACAUAGUAUGUCCCGAGUCCGUGCUGAAGGAAGGCACCUCAGGGUUCCCCGGUUAACUAGUUGCUAGCCGCCAUGUCCUUUGUAUCCAUCAGGAUUCUCUUAGGAACCAGCCACUCACUGUAGCUGUGGGCAGGAUGCCUCUGACUUAUAAAGCUCUACUUAUCACUUCUCAU